rnacentral:rRNA from 1 species
ACUAACUGGAGGACCGAACCGACUAAUGUUGAAAAAUUAGCGGAUGACUUGUGGCUGGGGGUGAAAGGCCAAUCAAACCGGGAGAUAGCUGGUUCUCCCCGAAAGCUAUUUAGGUAGCGCCUCGUGAAUUCAUCUCCGGGGGUAGAGCACUGUUUCGGCAAGGGGGUCAUCCCGACUUACCAACCCGAUGCAAACUGCGAAUACCGGAGAAUGUUAUCACGGGAGACACACGGCGGGUGCUAACGUCCGUCGUGAAGAGGGAAACAACCCAGACCGCCAGCUAAGGUCCCAAAGUCAUGGUUAAGUGGGAAACGAUGUGGGAAGGCCCAGACAGCCAGGAUGUUGGCUUAGAAGCAGCCAUCAUUUAAAGAAAGCGUAAUAGCUCACUGGUCGAGUCGGCCUGCGCGGAAGAUGUAACGGGGCUAAACCAUG